rnacentral:tRNA from 1 species
GCCGGUGUGUUGGAAUUGGCAGACGAGGAGGACUCAAAAUCCUUUGCCAGCGAUGGCGUGUGGGUUCAAGUCCCACCACCGGCACCA